GACGAACGCUGGCGGCGUGCCUAAUACAUGCAAGUCGAACGCUUCUUUCCUCCCGAGUGCUUGCACUCAAUUGGAACGCGGAGUGGCGGACGGGUGAGUAACACGUGGGUAACCUACCCAGCAGAGGGGGAUAACACUUGGAAACAGGUGCUAAUACCGCAUAACAGUUUAUGCCGCAUGGCAUAAGAGUGAAAGGCGCUUUCGGGUGUCGUUGAUGGAUGGACCCGCGGUGCAUUAGCUAGUUGGUGAGGUAACGGCUCACCAAGGCCACGAUGCAUAGCUGACCUGAGAGAGUGACCGGCGACACUGCGACAGGGACACGGCCCAGACUCCUACGGGAGGCAGCAGUAGGGACUUUUCGGCAAUGGAAGAGAGUCUGACCGAGCAACGCGGCGAAAGUGAACAAGGUUUUCGGGUCGUGAGACUGUGUUCUUAGGGAAGAACAAGUACGUUAGUCACAGAACGAACCCUGACGGUAUCUAACCAGAAAGCAACGGCUAACUCUGUG
rnacentral:rRNA from 1 species